rnacentral:rRNA from 1 species
UACACACCGCCCGUCACACCAUGGAAGUUGGUUCUACCUUAAGCCGAUGUGCGAACCGCAAGGACGCAGUCGACCACGGUCGGGUCAAUGACUGGGGUG